rnacentral:tRNA from 1 species
GUGGAUAUAGCUCAGUGGUAGGGCACAUGCUUAGUUAGCAUGCAUAAGGUCCUGGGUUCAAUCCCUGGUACCUCCG